AGCUGGCAAAAGACUCCUUUAGCAGGAGCCACUCGGACUGACCCCGUCGGGCUUUCGCCCAUUGCGGAGGUU
rnacentral:rRNA from 1 species